CUGCUCCAGAUCGAGCGACACCGAGCCAUCUUGUCAGCCUCCUUGCUCUCCGCUCAGGCCAGCGCUCGGCUGCGCAUGAAGGCUGCUGCUCCAGCCGAACAAGAUUGAUCUGGAUGGACACGGGUAAUGCCCGUGGCUGCUUCUCGUCGUUCCACCAAAGCGCUGCUGCCUUACGCCUGUGCCUCAUGCGUCCCUUUUGNNN
rnacentral:lncRNA from 1 species